GCAGUGUUGAACAGAUAAUACUGCAUAUCUUUGAGCAAUGACGAUUUGGUUGUUUUCAUGAU
rnacentral:sRNA from 1 species